rnacentral:rRNA from 1 species
AUACGGAGGGUGCGAGCGUUGUUCGGAAUUAUUGGGCGUAAAGCGCGUGUAGGCGGUCUUUUAAGUCUGAUGUGAAAGCCCUGGGCUCAACCCAGGAAGUGCAUUGGAAACUGGGAGACUUGAAUACGGGAGAGGGUAGUGGAAUUCCUAGUGUAGGAGUGAAAUCCGUAGAUAUUAGGAGGAACACGGUGGCGAAGGCGGCUACUGGACCGAUAUUGACGCUGAGACGACGAAAGCGGUGGGGAGAC